GACGAACGCUGGCGGCGUGCCUAAUACAUGCAAGUAGAACGCUGAAGGAGGAGCUUGCUUCUCUGGAUGAGUUGCGAACGGGUGAGUAACGCGUAGGUAACCUGCCUGGUAGCGGGGGAUAACUAUUGGAAACGAUAGCUAAUACCGCAUAAUAGCAGUUAUUGCAUGAUAACUGUUUGAAAGGUGCAAUUGCACCACUACCAGAUGGACCUGCGUUGUAUUAGCUAGUUGGUGGGGUAACGGCUCACCAAGGCGACGAUACAUAGCCGACCUGAGAGGGUGAUCGGCCACACUGGGACUGAGACACGGCCCAGACUCCUACGGGAGGCAGCAGUAGGGAAUCUUCGGCAAUGGACGGAAGUCUGACCGAGCAACGCCGCGUGAGUGAAGAAGGUUUUCGGAUCGUAAAGCUCUGUUGUAAGAGAAGAACGAGUGUGAGAGUGGAA
rnacentral:rRNA from 1 species